UACGUAGGGGGCUAGCGUUGUCCGGAUUUAUUGGGCGUAAAGAGCGUGUAGGCGGUCCGGUAAGUCCGCUGUGAAAGUCGGGGGCUCAACCCUCGAAUGCCGGUGGAUACUGUCGGGCUAGAGUGCGGAAGAGGCGAGUGGAAUUCCUGGUGUAGCGGUGAAAUGCGCAGAUAUCAGGAGGAACACCAAUGGCGAAGGCAGCUCGCUGGGACGGUACUGACGCUGAGACGCGAAAGCGUGGGGAGCAAACAGG
rnacentral:rRNA from 1 species